UUCCUACGGGGGGCAGCAGUGGGGGAUAUUGCACAAUGGGGGGAACCCUGAUGCAGCGACGCCGCGUGGGCGAUGGAGUGCUUCGGCAUGUAAAGCCCUAUCAGCAGGGAAGAAAAUGACGGUACCUGACUAAGAAGCCCCGGCUAACUACGUGCCAGCAGCCGCGGUAAUACGUAGGGGGCAAGCGUUAUCCGGAUUUACUGGGUGUAAAGGGUGCGUAGGUGGCAGGGCAAGUCAGAUGUGAAAGCCCGGGGCUCAACCCCGGUACUGCAUUUGAAACUGUCCAGCUGGAGUGCAGGAGAGGG
rnacentral:rRNA from 1 species